AUGUUCAAAGUAAUUAAACAGAUUAAGUAGUGUAUACUCAAAGUCUUUAAAAAGUUCUGUUAACUUAAAUAUGUCAAGUUCGUAUAACAUGUUCUUCUUUUUGAGUAAAUGAAACUAAUAAUAUUUGAUUGAAUUGAACUAUUUCUAUAUUAAGUAAGCAUCACUUAAAAUAAUAACUUAAGCACAACGUAACACAGUUAAGUUAGGACAUAUAAGAAUGGUAAAGUCCUGUUAUUUUUGUUGUUUCAAGUAGGUAGGAUUUAAUAAUAAACUUAAUUUAUGUAGCACAUGCUAAAAUACAAUAAAAUCUCAAAGUGUUUCACCAAAUAAGUAAAAUCAAAUUGUCUUAAAUGCAUUAGUGGAAGACAAAAUGUAUUUAUUUUAAUAUUCAUUGUUUUAUCACUGUGUCCUACAUAUAUAUUUUUAAUUUUUUCCGUAAGUGUUGAGCAGCUGCAGGAAUCAAUUUUUAUUCCGAGUUAAUCUCUGAUUCACCCUCCGAAGCGGAAGGCGGCGCUAAUGAGCAUUAAUACGAAACACAGAAGAAGUAAAGGUAUAUGGGCGGGAACAGCACCAAAGAGGCAACACGGACGACUGGAGAAAGUUGGACCUAAUGGCAGCAACUAGCAUCACUGGACUUACAGUAAGUUUUCAAUGUUGAUAUUAGUUUAUUGUUAAAAUACGAAUAUUUAGUUGUAUUUUGGGUGCGUGUCGAAAAGAAUAGCAGAAAUGUCGGUCCGUGUUUUUUAUGUGCUUUGCUGCUCUCCCCGAAGGAAACUUUGCGCUUGCAGAGCUAGCAUUAAGUUGUUGUAAUGACGGUCGCAGGCUGUUUAAAAAGUUAGAUACUACUUGCUCUAGAGGUGGCGCCCGGUCGCCUAGUAUGAAACAAAGUAUUUUAAUCUCUCUAAAUUUUUAAACCCCCUCUCAUGACUCAGAAUAGUUGGGUCCAAACAAGCCCGUUGUCCCUGCAGUUACACAACGGAGAUGCCUGUCUGCAGUGAGAGUGCUUUCAAGCAGUUUUCUUGUUAGAAACGCUAUAUUUUAAACUAUAUGUGCAGGGUUAGGGUUGUGAAGGAGCUCUUGGACCUCUGGCCUGCUCUAAAAAUGGAGUCUGAGGUAAUAUGGAUCAGCUCUGUUUAAAAUGAAAAUUGUAAUUCUUACUCAUGUGGCAGCUUUUUGCUGCUUUAUAAAGAUGUGCGAGAUUCUUCAAAUUGAACUGUAUUGUCCUUCUGCUGUAGUUGUAUGCAGAGUUUCAGCGGAUUACAAAUCAGAACCUGCCCAAUACAUUCUACGCUGAACUUGACCGCCAUCUUCCUCGACUGAUGACCUUAUUCAGCCAGGGCAUCAAAAACUGGGAAGACAGCAGAUGCCCUGGCUGAAAUUCUAAGAAUUCACAAUGAACAGGAAAUCCAUGAUAUCCACACCAAGCGCACUACCGUUCUCCCUGCCCUUCCUGUCUAUCUGCAUGAGGAUGUCUCUGGAUUUUUCAGAACCUGCACUGACGAAUCUGAUGAGUUGGAGCUUGAUGGUGUUGAAGUGGCCCUCUUCACUGUCAUCAGUGACCAUCACACAACAAGUCCAGUUCACUACCAACCUGUGAAAAUCUCUGUCGUCAUUGAAAGUGAUGCCGUGUUCAGUCUCCCCAGAUUUGGUGAAGCCUUCCUAGUAAUGUUUGGACUGAUCUAUGCACUUCCCCUCAGCUACCCCAAAGGCCUGACCAACACUUUAGAAUUUACUCAAAAGAUUUUAUUUGGUCUAGAAAGUGGUAAACUGUCACCCAGGUUACAGACCCUCAAGAAUGACUUGGUUAUGUAGGAACUCAUCUGAAAGAAGGAUGCAGGGUGAAGCAUUAUAAAAGGCUAGUUCAAAGUUCUCUCCUUUCAUCUAAAUAAUGCCUCAAAACAUUAUUAGAUUACUCUACAGGUGUUCAGCCAAUAGGUCCAAACUAUACAACGUGCCUUUGUUCUCAUUAACAUAAUGCAAAGCAACACUAAUGUUUUGUAUGUUUUAAUGUUUUUCGUAAUACUAUUUCCAAAACAUUGUGGGCUGCGCAAGAUGACCUAAAUUUCACUGUUUGAUACUAGUUAAUGUAAAACAAAUAGCAUUGUAAUUCACUCAAAUUGCUGCCUUGUUGUCUUAUUCAGAUAUUAGCCAGAGAGCCAAAAGCACAUUUUGAUAUUAUUAAUUAUUAUUUUUCAUUACUCUGACAGUUUUCCUGACUAAACAAUUUUUGGUCUACUUAUUUUAAUUUAUA